UACGGAGGGUGCAAGCGUUAUCCGGAUUUACUGGGUUUAAAGGGUGUGUAGGCGGGUCUUUAAGUCAGUGGUGAAAUCUCCGAGCUCAACUUGGAAACUGCCAUUUAUACUAUUGAUCUUGAAUUUUGUUGAGGUAGGCGGAAUAAGUCAUGUAGCGGUGAAAUGCAUAGAUAUGACUUAGAACACCAAUUGCGAAGGCAGCUUGCUAAACAAAUAUUGACGCUGAGGCACGAAAGCGUGGGGAUCAAACAGG
rnacentral:rRNA from 1 species